rnacentral:rRNA from 2 species
UACGAAGGGAGCUAGCGUUGUUCGGAAUCACUGGGCGUAAAGCGCACGUAGGCGGAUUGUUUAGUCAGGGGUGAAAUCCCGGGGCUCAACCUCGGAACUGCCUCUGAUACUGGCAAUCUCGAGUCCGAUAGAGGUGGGUGGAAUUCCUAGUGUAGAGGUGAAAUUCGUAGAUAUUAGGAAGAACACCGGUGGCGAAGGCGGCCCACUGGAUCGGUACUGACGCUGAGGUGCGAAAGCGUGGGGAGCAAACAGG